GGUUACACUUGAGGAUAUGAUAUGGUUGAUGGAUUAUGUGAUGAGGUUGUACUUAAGGAUAUGAUAUGGUUGUGUGAUAGUGUAAGUAUAUCCACGUAAAAAUGUAAUACGGUUUAUGAAUUAUGUGAUGAGAUUGCACUUGAGGAUAUGAUAUAGUUGUACGAUAGUGUGAUGUGAUUCCACUUGAGAAUAUGAUAUAGUUGAUGGACUGUGUGAUGAGGUUACACUUGAGGAUAUGAUAUAGUUG